AAAAACAAUGAUGUUGUGUCCGCCGAGAACUAAAAAAUAAAUAUUAAAAAAAAAAAUUCUCUCUCUCUCUCUCUCUUUUUUUUUUUAAUAUUUAUUUUUUAGUUCUCGGCGGACACAACAUCUUUGUUUGUAUGUGGUGCUGAGUAUCGAACCCGGGCAGCACGCAUGCCAGGCGAGCGCGCU
rnacentral:sRNA from 1 species